GGUACCAAGCAGUAUUGUCCCACUGUGGCUGUCAGGACACCCUCUUGCUGAACAACAGUCAUCCCAGAUGGCAGUCACUGUACUUCGCACGUGCACAGUGUAUGCAAGUUUCUGCAGCAGGAAAAAGGAAUGGAGUGGCCAGGGUGAUACUGAAAGUGAUUUAGUGGGCUUUGAAUGUCACUGUAAGGUUUCAAGCGGGCAGGAACAGCAAGCACAGUUCCACCACGGAUCCCCAUCACCACCCGGAGCUUGCAGGCCAAGGUAGGAAGGGAAAAGUCAAUCUCUGAUUCUAGGUCCCAGUUUAGCACAUCGUGGAGAAGCAUCAGCUUUACCAGGGGCCCCGGUGAGCACUUCAAGUAAAACUAUAGGGCUGCUUAGAAAGCUUGAGGCCAGAGUCUGUAUGGAGAGCACUUGGUUCCCAUUGCACCUAGCACUAGUGCUGAACCAGGGGCUGUUCUGAUGGGUGCAGGGCCCUGAGUAGCCUUUAAAAGACCCAAACUGCUCCAAGACUUGUUAGCCCUUAGACAAAUACACCCCCUCCUCAAUGAAGAAGACAACUUGAUCGCUUAAAACGUUGGGGUUUUUUUUCCAGUUUUUAUUGAGUGAAAAUGUCAAACCUUGCAUCAGUCAUGCAAAAAAAAAAAAAUCAAAUAAAUAAAACACAUAUAUUAAAUUUCUAAUAGCACUAAAUUCAAGUGGAAAAAUAUUCAGUUCUUAAUAACGCAGGUGCUGAAGAGACCAGAUUCAAGUAAAUCAGAGCACACCAUCCUGGUUAGGGUGUUGUUUUUUUUUUUCACUUUCUGCAUUUUUUUGUCUCAAAACCUAUAUAUAUAUCUAUAUAUCUAUAUAUAUGUAUAUACAUAUAGAUAUAUACACACACACAUAUAUAUGUGCAUACAUAUUAUUUUUAUAUUUAUAUAUAUACACAUACAUAUUUAUAAAACAUUAAAAAGAGCAUUGGUGGUUCAAGCAUUUAUUUCCCCCCCUCCCCCACGGAAAGAAAAAAAAAAUAAUAAAACAACAACAAAACAAAAAAAAAGACCCAAAAAAAUUA